UGUAAAGUACUGCUCAGAUGACGCCACUUUCCACUCAGUAAGAGUACUAAGUGGCGGGGCGAAAUUAGCCCUUCCACAGACUGCCCUGCGGAGAUAUCAGCCAGAUUGUGGAGGCGGGGAUCGACGGACAGGGCCAAGAUCCUAUGAUAAAUAUUUUCAAGGGAUGGGACCCGAGAUUCGAACCCGGCUUCCAGAAUAGAAAGCCAAAGCGUUUCCACGCGGCCAGUCCGGCCAAUUCAAACUACAAGGAAGCACAAACUGGAAACCCUUUUAAGAUGAUUACAAAAAUUCUUUGUUCUUGGCUAAAAGUCAAGCGAUCGAGGAUAACGAAGAGGAGGAAGCAGACGAUAGCUACGAUCUAGAUGAUCAAUCUUUAGACUUUUUAGAAGAUCUGGAUCUCUAGCCC
rnacentral:lncRNA from 1 species